AUUGAACGCUGGCGGCAGGCCUAACACAUGCAAGUCGAACGAGUGGCGGACGGGUGAGUAAUGUCUGGGAAACCGCCUGCUGGAGGGGGAUAACUACUGGAAACGGUAGCUAAUCCCGCAUAACAUCAGAUGUGCCCAGAUGGGAUUAGCUAGUUGGUGGGGUAACGGCUCCCAAAGGCCACGAUCCCUAGCUGGUCUGAGAGGAUGACCCGCCACACGGGGACUGGGACACGGUCCAGACUCCUACGGGAGGCAGCAGGGGGGAAUAUUGCACAAUGGGCGCAAGCCUGAGGCAGCCAUGCCGCGUGUAUGAAGAAGGCCUUCGGGUUGUAAAGUACUUUCAGCGGGGAGGCGUUACCCGCAGAAGAAGCACCGGCUAACUCCGUGCCAGCAGCCGCGGUAAUAC
rnacentral:rRNA from 1 species